AUUCCUCUAAAAAGAAAACACAUCAGUUUAAUAUCUGAUACAUCUUCUAUCUGAGAACAAUACAUUAAAUGGAUUUUUGGAGCUGAGAGGUGGAAUAGGAGCUUGCUCUGUCCACUCCACACAUUUACCUGGUAUUGCAGUACCUCCAGGAAUGGUGUACCCCCC
ensembl:snRNA U2 U2 spliceosomal RNA